ACGAAGCUCUGCGAUACAAGACUUCGGUCAAGUUGAACGGAUGACUUAGUGGCGGACGGGUGAGUAACGCGUGAGGAACCUGCCUUUCAGUGGGGGACAACAGUCGGAAACGACUGCUAAUACCGCAUAAUGUAUUCUGACCGCAUGAUCGGAAUACCAAAGAUUUAUUGCUGAAAGAUGGCCUCGCGUCUGAUUAGAUAGUUGGUGAGGUAACGGCCCACCAAGUCGACGAUCAGUAGCCGGACUGAGAGGUUGAACGGCCACAUUGGGACUGAGAUACGGCCCAGACUCCUACGGGAGGCAGCAGUGGGGAAUAUUGGGCAAUGGGGGAAACCCUGACCCAGCAACGCCGCGUGAAGGAAGAAGGCUUUCGGGUUGUAAACUUCUUUUACCAGGGACGAAGGACGUGACGGUACCUGGAGAAAAAGCCACGGCUAACUACGUGCCAGCAGCCGCGGUAAUACGUAGGUGGCAAGCGUUGUCCGGAUUUACUGGGUGUAAAGGGCGUGUAGGCGGAGAAGCAAGUCAGAAGUGAAAUCCAUGGGCUUAACCCAUGAACUGCUUUUGAAACUGUUUCCCUUGAGUAUCGGAGAGGCAGGCGGAAUUCCUAGUGUAGCGGUGAA
rnacentral:rRNA from 1 species